rnacentral:rRNA from 1 species
UACGUAGGGUGCAAGCGUUAAUCGGAAUUACUGGGCGUAAAGCGUGCGCAGGCGGUUUUGUAAGUCUGUCGUGAAAUCCCCGGGCUCAACCUGGGAAUUGCGAUGGAGACUGCAAGGCUAGAAUCUGGCAGAGGGGGGUAGAAUUCCACGUGUAGCAGUGAAAUGCGUAGAGAUGUGGAGGAACACCGAUGGCGAAGGCAGUCCCCUGGGUCAAGAUUGACGCUCAUGCACGAAAGCGUGGGGAGCAAACAGG